GAUGGACGCUAGCGGCAGGCUUAACACAUGCAAGUCGAGGGGUAUAGGAAGCUUGCUUCCUAGAGACCGGCGCACGGGUGCGUAACGCGUAUGCAACCCACCUUUUACAGGGGAAUAGCCCAGAGAAAUUUGGAUUAAUGCCCCAUGGUAUAAUUGAAUGGCAUCGUUUAAUUAUUAAAGUUCCAACGGUAAAAGAUGGGCAUGCGUCCUAUUAGCUAGAUGGUAAGGUAACGGUUUACCAUGGCGACGAUAGGUAGGGGUCCUGAGAGGGCGAUCCCCCACAGUGGUACUGAGGCAGGGACCAGAUUCCUACGUGAGGCAGCAGUGAGGAAUAUUGGACAAUGGGCGCAAGCCUGAUCCGGCCAUGCCGCGUGCAGGAAGAAGCAUCUAUGGUGUGUAAACUGCUUUUGUAAAGGAAGAAACAUCCCGACGUGUCGGGACUUGACGGUACUGUAAGAAUAAGGAUCGGCUAACUCCGUGCCAGCCGCCGCGGUAACAC
rnacentral:rRNA from 1 species